AACUCAGAAUACCCAUGRUUGUAGCACUAGUAAGACGGUGGGGGAUAAGCUUCAUCGUCGAAAGGGAAACAGCCCAGACCAUCAGCUAAGGUCCCCAAGUAAAGACUAAGUGAUAAAGGAGGUGGGAGUGCGAAGACAACCAGGAGGUUUGCCUAGAAGCAGCCAUCCUUGAAAGAGUGCGUAAUAGCUCACUGGUCAAGCGCUCCUGCGCCGAAAAUGAACGGGGCUAAGUCUUUCACCGAAGCUAUGGACUCAUAUUUUGAGUGGUAGGGGAGCGUUCUCUAUUGGGAGAAGCAUUAGCGGCAAGCAGAUGUGGACGAUAGAGAAGUGAGAAUGUCGGCUUAAGUAGCGAAAAUUGAAGUGAGAAUCUUCAACCCCGAAAGCAUAAGGGUUUCUCCAGAAGGUUCGUCCGUGGAGAGUUAGCCCGGACCUAAGGCGAAGCGAAUAGCGUAGUCGAUGGCAAGCAGGUAAAUAUUCCUGCGUGGUUUUACAGGAGCUAUUAAAGGGACCCAUGAAAGAUAAACUCGUCCUAAGUGGAUUGGAAGCAACUUCGGUUGUGUGAGUGUAAGGAUAGUGGCAAGAAAAGCUUUAAUAGUGUUGAAUGUAGAAUCCCGGUACCCGAAACCGACACAGGUAUGCAAGUAGAGAAUACUAAGGGGAGCGAGUUAACUCUCUCUAAGGAACUCGGCAAAAUGACCCCGUAACUUC
rnacentral:rRNA from 1 species